GAUGAAGAACGCAGCGAAAUGCGAUAAGUAGUGUGAAUUGCAGAAUUCCGUGAAUCAUCGAGUCUUUGAACGCACAUUGCGCCCCCUGGUAUUCCGGGGGGCAUGCCUGUCCGAGCGUCAUUGCUGCCCAUCAAGCACGGCUUGUGUGUUGGGUCCCGUCCCCCUCUCCCGGGGGACGGACCCGAAAGGCAGCGGCGGCACCGCGUCCGGUCCUCGAGCGUAUGGGGCUUUGUCACCCGCUCUUGUAGGCCCGGCCGGCGCUUGCCGACACCCAACCAUUUUUUUCAGGUUGACCUCGGAUCAGGUAGGGAUACCCGCUGAACUUAAGCAUAUCAAUAAGCGGAGGA
rnacentral:misc_RNA from 1 species